UACGGGGGGGGCAAGCGUUGUUCGGAAUUACUGGGCGUAAAGGGCUCGUAGGUGGCCAACUAAGUCAGACGUGAAAUCCCUCGGCUUAACCGGGGAACUGCGUCUGAUACUGGAUGGCUUGAGUUUGGGAGAGGGAUGCGGAAUUCCAGGUGUAGCGGUGAAAUGCGUAGAUAUCUGGAGGAACACCGGUGGCGAAGGCGGCAUCCUGGACCAACACUGACACUGAGGCGCGAAAGCUGGGGGAGCGAACGGG
rnacentral:rRNA from 1 species